CCUACGGGUGGCAGCAGUGGGGAAUAUUGCACAAUGGGGGAAACCCUGAUGCAGCGACGCCGCGUGAGUGAAGAAGUAAUUCGGUAUGUAAAGCUCUAUCAGCAGGGAAGAAAAUGACGGUACCUGAGUAAGAAGCACCGGCUAAUUACGUGCCAGCAGCCGCGGUAAUACGAAGGGGGCGAGCGUUAUCCGGAUUUACUGGGUGUAAAGGGAGCGUAGACGGCAGUGCAAGUAUGGAGUGAAAGGCGGGGGCUCAACCCGCGGACUGCUUUGGAAACUGUACGGCUGGAGUGCAGGAGAGGUUAGUGGAAGUCCUAGUGUAGCGGUGAAAUGCGUAGAUAUUAGGAGGAACACCAGUGGCGAAGGCGACUAACUGGACUAUAACUGACGUUGAGGCUCGAAAGCGUGGGGAGCAAACAGGAUUAGAUACCCGAGUAGUC
rnacentral:rRNA from 1 species